rnacentral:rRNA from 1 species
CCAAUAGCGUAUAUUAAAGUUGUUGCAGUUAAAAAGCUCGUAGUUGAAUUUCGGGGUUAGUAGGUUGGUCAUGCCACUGGUAUGUACUGGUCUCACUGAUUCCUCCUUCCUGAUGAACCGUAAUGCCAUUAAUUUGGUGUUGCGGGGAAUCUGGACUGUUACUUUGAAAAAAUUAGAGUGUUUAAAGCAAGCUAACGCUUGAAUACAUUAGCAUGGAAUAAUGAAAUAGGACGUUCGAUCCUAUUUUGUUGGUUUCUAGGAUUGACGUAAUGAUUAAUAGGGAUAGUUGGGGGCAUUAGUAUUCAAUUGUCAGAGGUGAAAUUCUUGGAUUUAUUGAAGACUAACUACUGCGAAAGCAUUUGCCAAGGAUGUUUUCAUUAAUCAAGAACGAAAGUUAGGGGAUCGAAGACGAUCAGAUACCGUCGUAGUCUUAACCAUAAACUAUGCCGACUAGGGAUCGGAUGAUGUUAAUUUUUUAAUGACUCAUUCGGCGCCUUACG